CACAAGUCGAGCGGAGCAUGAGGUGCUUGCACCUUAUCUUAGCGGCGGACGGGUGAGUAAUGCUUAGGAAUCUGCCUAUUAGUGGGGGACAACAUUCCGAAAGGAAUGCUAAUACCGCAUACGUCCUACGGGAGAAAGCAGGGGAUCUUCGGACCUUGCGCUAAUAGAUGAGCCUAAGUCGGAUUAGCUAGUUGGUGGGGUAAAGGCCUACCAAGGCGACGAUCUGUAGCGGGUCUGAGAGGAUGAUCCGCCACACUGGGACUGAGACACGGCCCAGACUCCUACGGGAGGCAGCAGUGGGGAAUAUUGGACAAUGGGGGGAACCCUGAUCCAGCCAUGCCGCGUGUGUGAAGAAGGCCUUAUGGUUGUAAAGCACUUUAAGCGAGGAGGAGGCUACUGAGACUAAUACUCUUGGAUAGUGGACGUUACUCGCAGAAUAAGCACCGGCUAACUCUGUGCCAGCAGCCGCGGUAAUACAGAGGGUGCGAGCGUUAAUCGGAUUUACUGGGCGUAAAGCGUGCGUAGGCGGCUUUUUAAGUCGGAUGUGAAAUCCCCGAGCUUAACUUGGGAAUUGCAUUCGAUACUGGGAAGCUAGAGUAUGGGAGAGGAUGGUAGAAUUCCAGGUGUAGCGGUGAAAUGCGUAGAGAUCUGGAGGAAUACCGAUGGCCAAAGGCAGCCAUCCUGGCCUAAUCCUGACGCUGAGGUACCAAAGCAUGGGGAGCAAAA
rnacentral:rRNA from 1 species